UCGUUGCUGUUUGCCGGUGCCUCUCAUAGGCCCGUGAACCCACUCGCUCCAGUCCCCACUCGCUGCGAGGUGAGAGCGAACAAACCCUAGUCGUCGCCGCUCGUCCCCAAGCCCGUCGCCGCCGCUCGUCCUCAGCGACGUCGCCGCCGUCCCCAAGGCCGUCGCCACCGCUCGUCCUCAGCGACGUCGCCGCCGUCCCCAAGGCCGUCGCGAUCGGCUUCCCGAUGCAGCGCCGCCGGCUUCUCGACACCAACGCCGCGGAGGAUGAUUAUUGCCACCUAAAUGGACUGAAGAAAGCAUCACCACUCCAAGCUCGGCUCACACCUUCCCAUUCCCACGCUCUCUUUGCUGCUCCACAGUUGCUGCUAGCAUUAACUCGCCACUUGUUGCUGACAACGUCUAGGUAUUGAGUUGUUUGUGAUGGAUGAAGGCCACAAUCAACGGGGUGGGCAUGACCAAAGUUCUUUCUACCCUAGAUUCUACAUGCGGCGGUUCAAUACUUAUGGUAUGGACCCUAGUACCCUACAGUGGAGGGUUACACAGCAGUCUUCGCCUUUUCCUGUCAUGCAUGGAGUUGCACUACUCAACGUGAUACCUGCACAAGACUUUUAUGGGCCCCACGGUCAGUAUGUUCCAGAUUUGGCUUUUGCUGGCAUGCAUCGAGUCGUACCGCCCAACAUGGUACCUGCACCAAACAUCUAUGGGGCUCAUGGUCAAUAUCCACUAGAUCGAUCCAUGCUACCAUAUGCAUAUGUUUCUUAGGGGGAGCAACAACCUUAUCCUUGAUACCCGUCCCAUCUGCAUUCGUCACCGUAUCAAAAUGUAUUAGGUAGAGGCAAUUCUAAUGUUGAAGUUUCAGUUUGUCAGUCGAUGUUACAAAACAGGGGAUCUCUGUUUCCACUGUAAGGUCUCAACCAAUUGAUCACUCAAGGCUAAGCUACAAUAUGUCUGUUUCUGUAGCGCAAUCAUCUGUAUCCACUUCAUUUGCUAAGGUGCUGUAGGAUCUCAGAGACAGGGCCUCAGUUCCAACAAGUGAGGUUUCAUCCAUAACAGCCUAUCUCCAAUAUAUGCACCUUAAGUAGAAGUUCAGAGCCUCAUUUUCUACAAAUUAGGUCUCUGAAAUUGAUUAUUUAAGUGAACCAUCUUUAGUGCUUCUAUCAUGUGUUAAUGCCCCCUGAGUGGAAGCCAAAGCUAAACGUAUCUCAAUUUCUUAGAGUCUCGUCAUUAAAACAGUUUCAUCAAUUGCCAAGCUAAGGUCCAGUGCAGUUGAUGCAAUUUGACUGAUAUGACAGAUCAGAUCUCUGUAACUGAUUCACCACCACCUUUUGUGCUUGAUUUAACUUUUAUUGAAGCCCUAAGCUUGAGUGCCUCAAUUUCUUUGAGUCCGGUCAGUCGAACUGGUCAAUCAAUUGUCAAGUCAAUAUCCAAUUGCUUAUAUGUUGCUGCAGUUGAAGAAACAUUAACUAGUAUGCAUGAUAGGAAUUUGGAGGAUUUUGUAAUCAGGAAUUGUCCACUUGUAAGAUGGCACAAACUUUUCAUUUUAUAUUUAACACUAAUCUUGAUAAGCAAAUGCAGAAAGAUUCUUUGUAAUGCAUAUAUAGACAUGUGAUUGACAUGUUCAGAAAUGAAAAUAGUUACGGUGAUAUGUUUGAAGAGAAGCACUUGAUGGUCACAAACAACAAUUAAUUCUAUAUUACACUUGAGGCGGAUUAAGACUACCAUAUAAAAAACUUAUUGGCUGAUCUUAAAAAACUAGUAAAUAUAAUAGCAUCUUACUUCAGCGGUAAGUACAUCUUGGCUCGUCAAAUGAACGUUAUCUAUGUGCAUCACCUGUUUUAGAUUUGCAGGACUCCUUCGCAAAUGAUAAAAGUAUCAGGUCAUACAUUAAAGAAAUUUUUGGAUUUUAUAUACUAUCAUUUGAGUUUUGGACAUCAAGUUAACCGAUCGGAUCUUUUAAAGGCGGGUGUAAGUUUGAUAAGAUGUUGUAGCACUCAUGACGCUAAGUAUGUUGACAUGUGUCUCGAGGGUGCACUUGAUAAAACUUUAUGGCCAGGUGAUUAAAUGAUUGAACUAUAUGGUGUCCUUAUUCUUAAUAACGUUUUUUGGUUUGGAGUCACGGAAGAAGAUAAACGACUUGGUUUCGAUCUCGCCUCCGCAAUAAUGUUAGGAAUCUGUCUUCAAUAACCAAACAGAUCUCUAGCAUUAUUGCAGAGGCGAGGUCGAGAACCAAAUCGUCUGUCUUCUUCUGUGAAACCAAACCAAAUAACGUCAUCAAGAAUAUGGAUAUCAUUUAGUUCAGUCUUCCAAUCACCUGGCCAGAAAGUUUUAUCAAGUGCACCCUCGAGACACAUCUCAACAUACUUAGCGUCACGGGUGCCACAACGUCUUAUCAGACUUCCACCCGCUUUUAAAUGAUAGCAUAUAAAAUCCAAGAAUUUUUUCAAUGCAUGACCUGAUGUUCUUAUCACUUGUGGAGGGGGCUUUCAAAUCUCAAACAAGUGAUGCAUAUAGAUAGCGUUCAUUUGACGAGUCAAGAUAUACUUACCUCUAAAAUAAGAUGUUAUCAAAUUUGUUAGUCUUUUAAGAUCAGUCAACAGGUUUUCUAAGGUAGGGUCUUGAUCCGUCUCAAGUUUAAUAUAGAAUUGAUUGUUGUUUGUGACUAUCAGGUGCUCCUCUUCAAACAUACCACCCCAACUAUGUCCAAUUCUGAACAUGUCAAUCACAUGCCUAUGUGCAUUGCAAAGAAACCUUUUGCAUUUGCUCGUCAAUACCAGUGAUAAAUAUAAAAUGAAGAGUUUGUGCCAUCUUACAAGUAUAUCAUUCUUGAUUAUAAAAUCCUUCAAGUUCAUAUCAGACACACUAGUUAAUGCUUCUUCAACUGCAGCAAUAUCUGAGCAAUUGGGCAUUAACUUCACCAGUUUCACUGACCGGACUCAAAGAAACUAAGGCACUCGAGCUUGGAGCUUCCACAAAAGGUGGUGAUGAAUCGGUUACAGAGAUCUAAUUUGUCAUAUUAGCCAAACUAGUUGAUGAUGCAUGCAUUGAACCUUAGCUUGGCAAUUGAUGGAACUAUUUCAGUAACCACUCUUAGAAAUUGUUGUAUGUUUGGCUUUGGCUUCCACACGGGUGAUAUUAACACAUGAUAUGAGCAAUAAAGGUGGUCCACUUGAAGAAUCAAUUUCAGACCUGAUUUGUAGGAACUGAGGCUUUGAACUCCUACUUAAGAUGCAUAGAAUGGAGAUAAGUUGUUAUGGAUGAGACCUCACUUGUUGGAACUGAGACACUGUGUCCCUGAGUUCCUACAGCACCUCACUUGUUGAAGCAACUACAGUGGAUGUAGAUGAUCUCGAGUGACGAAUUGGUUGAGACCCUACAGUGGACAUAGAGCGCUGUAUCAUAAAAUCUGAUGCUGUUUUGUAAUAUCGACUGACAAAUUGAAACUUCAACAUUAGAAUUGUCUCUAUCUAAUACAUCUUGUAGCCCUAACUCUGCAGGACACUUCUGCUCAAUUGAGCAAACUGUUUUAUGAAGAAGCAUCGCCCUGCUUUGUUUAGCUAUACUCUCUUAUGAAUCCUCGUCCACAUGUGAGAAUAUUGUCCAUUAAGAAGAACAAUAUUGUUUGUUGUGUAUUCGACCAAGAGGACAACAUCCCUAAGGUUGAGGUUCUUGUUCACAAUGAUACCUCCUCCGGUGCUAGCGAUCAGCAAGGCCCUCACCUUGCAACCAGUACUGUUGCAGAAGAGGCUUGGGCCAAGGGGAAGGCGCCGCCCGAUCAGGAGGCCAAAGGGUCUCCUUGAUCCAGGAAAUCGUCUUCACCAUCUGAUCAGCCACCCCAAGCGCACACGAAGAAAAAGACGACUGGUAUUGAACUCGAGUUGUCAGGUGACUUCUCUGCCGGAGAUAGCUGGAACUCCCCCUCGAUCGCCGCCUUGAGUAACUGACACGCCUGAUGACUCGGUAAGGAAGGCAAUGGCUGCCUUCGCCUCAUCUGAUCCUUCAACCACUGUCCCAUCGCCCACGGCGCCUGCGUCUCCAGUUGUCUUUGAUGCUGCUGCUCCCUCGACAACUGCUUCCACUCGAGGCACCAUGAAAAAGAUCUUAAGGAAAGGAUUGAAAUCCAACGUGUGGUUCAUGCAGAAGCAUGCUUCCUUGUAGGUAGAAAACAUCUUACAACUUGAGCGAUAUUCUUUUCUUGAUGUUAGUUAUAACCGGUUGAAGAAUGGAGUUCUCAAGUAAGCAGCUUCAGGUCGAGCCACCGAAGGCAUCAGCAGCACGGGCUAACUUGGCACUGGUAGCCCAUCGCCGUCCGUGACUCCUGCUGAUGCUGACCCGAGCAUGCCAUGGACAAUGGUGAAGGACCAUAUCAAGGCCUUGUAUCAAGCUGUGCCCCUUCUUUAGAAAAACAUCACGGAUGGGGAGGCUUAUCGACAAGAGAUAGCAGCGCUCAAGGUCGAUGCGGAGAGGUGGGUACAUGCAAUGGCGGAGACAACGAGCAAGGAGCUCCAGAAGAAUCACAACGCCAUCAAGAAAUUGGAGAAACUGGAGAAAGUCAAGGACAGCUAGGUGGCCUCAGAAGCUUGAGCACAAGCCGCUAAAGCUGAGAGGGACACUGCCAUUGAACGUUCCAAUGAAGCAGUGGCCAUCAGCGCCUGAACGGUAUGAUCAGGUUCAUCGAGAAGGAGUAUCUGAAAUUGAAUGAUAGCCACACCACAAAGUUUCAAUGAGUGGCCACCAUAUCCAAGAGGAUUAUUGAUUCCGAAAUGGGAUGAAGUGCUGCACUGUGAACUCUGCUGACCUCUUGCCCGCCGCCCAUGUUUCCCUUAUUUAUUUCCUGAGAUUUGGAACUACAAGGAGAACAAGCUAAACAAUGUUGUCUGCACAGCCCCCAUGCUGGACGUAUACCACGGCGAUGUUGUCUACAUGAUGUCCCAGCUGGACGCUCGCGACCCAAACGGUUGGGUGCUUGCUGUUGACAUUGGAAACAAGAAACUGGAGAAAGCUAUGCCUUUUUCUGCUGAAAGGUUGUAUAUCGAUCACGACUACAUGCACUGUGACUUCUCCAAGUACCUCGGCAAGGCUCCAGGAGCAUGCACGGCCAAGAGCUUCAGUUCUCCAAAUAAGUCGAGUAUUUCUGGAAGUUCUUGCAAGAAGGCAGCUACUUUUUAUAUGCAGUUUGGUUCUUUUGAUGCCAAUGGUGAAAAGGGGGAGACGAACCUACCUGCUGCUGUCAUUAUGCCGAGCCAUCUAAUGUUUGUUGGAGCUAAUUUGCACAAGAAUUAAGAAAACAAUCAGGCCAAGAAACCAAUGGAAUAUCUUCGGGCUCUAUGCAUGUAUUGGUCAAGUCGAACUAAAAUGAUUAGCAAGUUGUAUUUGCAUGGCCGCGGCAUAAUAUUAUUUGCUAGACAUGAUUUGUAGCUCAAAGUUGAGUCUGUUUAUGUUCCUGCGCGCACAAGGAGAGGCCCAGAUCGGCAUGGUAUUGGUCUGGUCCGUUCCUGAGUCAGGUUCGAAUUGGAGUUGAGUCAGGUGGCCUGCGUGAGCUUUUGCCCUUGGUCGUGUCCACAGAAAGUUUCUAGACC